rnacentral:rRNA from 1 species
AGACCCGAAACCCGGUGAUCUAGCCAUGGGCAGGUUGAAGGUUGGGUAACACUAACUGGAGGACCGAACCGACUAAUGUUGAAAAAUUAGCGGAUGACCUGUGGCUGGGGGUGAAAGGCCAAUCAAACCGGGAGAUAGCUGGUUCUCCCCGAAAGCUAUUUAGGUAGCGCCUCGUGAAUUCAUCUCCGGGGGUAGAGCACUGUUUCGGCUAGGGGGCCAUCCCGGCUUACCAACCCGAUGCAAACUGCGAAUACCGGAGAAUGUUAUCACGGGAGACACACGGCGGGUGCUAACGUCCGUCGUGAAGAGGGAAACAACCCAGACCGCCAGCUAAGGUCCCAAAGUCAUGGUUAAGUGGGAAACGAUGUGGGAAGGCCCAGACAGCCAGGAUGUUGGCUUAGAAGCAGCCAUCAUUUAAAGAAAGCGUAAUAGCUCACUGGUCGAGUCGGCCUGCGCGGAAGAUGUAACGGGGCUAAACCAUGCACCGAAGCUGCGGCAGCGAACGUAUCACUUAAAGCGAUUCAGCGGGUUACGAUUGACGGAGCGAAGCGACGUCAAAGCGUAUACAAAGUCGAGUCGGUUUAAGGAUACGUUCGUUGGGUAGGGGAGCGUUCUGUAAGCCUGUGA